UUCUUUCGUGCGCUCUCUGUUCGUUGCUCUGUUUCUUCGCGCUUGAAUCCAUUGAACGCCGCAUGGCAGCUUAAUUUUUAAUCUCUGUGCAAAGUACUGCUGCCUUACCGGCUCUCUCUCUCUCUCGAUUCAAGGUGAGGAAAUGGCGAGAGAUAAAGCCACGAGCUUGGAGGAUCUCAAAAACGAGACUGUUGAUCUGGAAAAGAUUCCCAUAGAAGAAGUCUUCGAGCAGCUGAAAUGUACCAAAGAGGGUCUGAGCUCGGAGGAGGGAGCAAAUCGGAUUCAACUCUUCGGGCCGAACAAGCUCGAGGAGAAAAAGGAGAGCAAAUUCCUCAAGUUUCUCGGGUUCAUGUGGAAUCCGCUGUCGUGGGUGAUGGAGAUGGCGGCGAUCAUGGCAAUUGCGCUGGCGAACGGCGGAGGGAAGCCUCCGGAUUGGGAGGACUUCGUCGGAAUCAUCAUCCUGCUGGUUAUCAACUCCACCAUCUCGUUUAUCGAAGAGAACAACGCCGGCAAUGCCGCGGCCGCUCUCAUGGCCCGUCUCGCUCCCAAAGCUAAGGUACUGAGAGACGGCACAUGGGGCGAGCAGGACGCGGCGAUCCUGGUGCCCGGCGACAUCAUCAGCAUCAAGCUCGGCGACAUCAUACCCGCCGACGCCCGGCUGCUGGAGGGAGACCCCUUGAAGAUUGACCAGUCCGCCCUCACCGGAGAAUCUCUCCCCGUCACCAAGAACCCCGGCGACGAGGUCUUCUCCGGCUCCACAUGCAAGCAGGGCGAGAUCGAGGCCGUCGUCAUCGCCACCGGCGUCCACACCUUCUUCGGAAAGGCCGCCCACCUCGUCGACAGCACCAACCAGGUCGGCCACUUCCAGAAGGUCCUCACCUCCAUUGGGAAUUUCUGCAUCUGCUCCAUCGCCGUCGGCAUCGUCAUCGAGAUCAUCGUCAUGUUCCCGAUCCAGAAACGCAAAUACCGAGACGGCAUCGACAACCUAUUGGUCCUCUUGAUCGGAGGCAUCCCCAUUGCCAUGCCCACCGUGCUCUCCGUCACCAUGGCCAUCGGAUCCCACAAGCUCUCUCAACAGGGCGCCAUCACCAAGAGGAUGACCGCCAUAGAGGAGAUGGCCGGAAUGGAUGUGCUCUGCAGCGAUAAGACCGGCACGCUUACCCUAAACAAACUCAGCGUCGAUAAGAACUUAAUCGAGGUGUUCUCCAAAGGCGUCGACAAGGAUCAUGUCGUCCUGCUGGCUGCAAGGGCCUCCAGGACCGAGAAUCAGGACGCCAUCGAUGCUGCUAUGGUUGGGAUGCUCGCAGACCCAAAGGAGGCAAGAGCAGGAAUACGGGAAGUCCAUUUCUUUCCCUUCAAUCCCGUCGACAAGAGAACAGCGCUGACUUAUAUCGAUGAAGAGGGCAAAUGGCAUAGAGUCAGCAAAGGUGCUCCUGAACAGAUAUUGAACCUAUGCAACUGCAAAGAGGAUGUGAGGAAGAGAGUUCACACAGUGAUUGAUAAGUUUGCUGAACGGGGGCUUCGAUCUUUGGCAGUGGGAAGACAGGAAGUUCCUGAGAGGAGCAAAGAGAGUCCUGGUGCACCAUGGCAGUUUGUUGGUUUACUGCCUCUCUUUGACCCUCCGAGACAUGAUAGUGCUGAGACCAUCCGCAAGGCUCUCAACCUUGGCGUGAAUGUGAAGAUGAUCACUGGCGAUCAACUAGCGAUAGCAAAGGAAACCGGUAGGAGACUUGGAAUGGGAUCAAACAUGUAUCCUUCCUCUUCUCUCCUUGGACAACACAAGGAUGAGGCACUUGGUGCACUUCCAGUGGAUGAAUUAAUCGAGAAGGCUGAUGGGUUUGCAGGAGUUUUUCCAGAGCAUAAGUAUGAGAUUGUGAGGAAGUUGCAAGAGAGGAAGCAUAUAUGUGGGAUGACUGGGGAUGGAGUAAAUGAUGCUCCUGCCUUGAAGAAGGCUGAUAUUGGCAUUGCUGUUUCCGAUGCCACGGAUGCUGCAAGAAGUGCUUCUGACAUUGUCCUGACUGAACCUGGCUUAAGUGUCAUCAUCAGUGCUGUCCUUACCAGCAGAGCCAUCUUCCAGAGGAUGAAAAACUAUACAAUAUAUGCUGUUUCAAUCACCAUCCGUAUUGUCCUUGGAUUUAUGCUUAUUGCUCUGAUUUGGAAAUUUGACUUCUCCCCUUUCAUGGUUUUGAUUAUUGCCAUACUAAAUGAUGGUACAAUUAUGACAAUAUCUAAAGAUCGUGUGAAGCCAUCUCCAAUGCCAGACAGUUGGAAAUUGAAAGAAAUAUUUGCCACUGGCAUUGUGCUGGGAACUUACUUGGCCUUGAUGACUGUCCUCUUCUUCUGGGCUAUGAAAGAAACUAAUUUCUUUCCGAACAAAUUCGAUGUUAGACGGAUAAGAGAAAGUGACCAUGAGAUGAUGGCUGCACUAUACCUGCAAGUGAGCAUUAUCAGCCAAGCACUCAUAUUCGUUACCCGUUCACGUGGUUGGUGCUUCACUGAACGUCCUGGACUUCUACUCUGUGGUGCCUUUGUGAUUGCUCAACUCAUUGCCACUUUAGUAGCUGUUUAUGCCAACUGGAGCUUUGCCCACAUUAAAGGCUGCGGAUGGGGUUGGGCUGGAAUAAUAUGGCUUUAUAGUUUAAUUACCUUCAUCCCACUUGACUUGAUUAAGUUUGCUACUCGCUAUAUACUAAGUGGAAAGGCAUGGGACACUCUCUUUGAGAGGAAGACUGCUUUCACCACAAAGAAAGAUUAUGGAAGAGAGGAAAGAGAAGCUCAAUGGGCAAUCGCUCAGAGAACACUUCAUGGUCUCCAACCUCCUGACACUUCAAACCUCUUCUCUGACAAGAACAGCUAUCGCGAGCUUUCAGAAAUUGCUGAGCAGGCCAAGAGACGAGCUGAGAUUGCGAGGAGCAUGAGCGAUGUCUUGUACAAUAGUUGCAGCAAACUGGAAAUGUCAAAUUUGACUAAUCUAUAGCAGCUUAAACUUUCGAGACUGCCCAAAAUCGCAAUAAAUAAAGUCAUCCUGCUUUUAAAUGAAAUCGAGAAGUUAUUCUGAAUUAUCAUUUGUAGGGGCAGGAUGACUAUAUUUUGGCUGAAUAACUCAUUCUCAAAUAUGGCUAAGAGAGCUGCACACACUAAAGGGUCAUGUGGAAUCAGUGGUCAAGCUGAAAGGGCUUGACAUCGACACCAUUCAGCAACAUUACACAGUUUAGGAACACCCAAACGUUUCUGCCAAGAAGCUCCUCGUCGGAAAUGGCGACAAAGCAUCAAAUGGAUAAUUAUUGCGUGAUGAAGUAAUACUAUCUAUGUACAACGGGGAGAGGUAAGUGGUGUUUAAAAUCUGCAUCUUGCUGUUUAAAGUUUGUUGGAAAUAAGCUAAUUGCCUUUGGUGUA